CUGGGCUUCAUGUUUUAGGUAUAAACCCACAUAUGUUUCUCCCGUCUGCUUUCAUACGACGCCAUCGCCGUGUCGAUCCAAGUACAGGCCACCGCCUCUUACCAGAAGAGGUGUAACGGUCUACACUUUCAUUCAAUCUCCAUCGUUUACGUUCUUAUUCACUCCAUAAACUUGCAUUCAAUAGCACCUUCACUCUUCCCAGAUGGUUACAAAACUUAUCCUAUAAAAAGGAGGUAAGCUUUGCCAAAAUUCACCAAACAUCACCUCUCACCCUCAAUCAUCAUAAUACUUUGCUUCAGUAUUGUGAUCUCUUCAUAGAAAUUCUGAUAUAGCUAUAGAGUUUCGAGAUCUUGAUUCGUUUUGUGAAUCUUCCAUCCCGUUUUAUCUUCUUUUCUAUUCAACAAAAGCUUAUCGGGAGAACUAUUCAAGACAAAUCGCGAUGAAUCUGAUGAUGAUCCCUCGAUCGAGAAGUCUUGGUUUCGUUUCAACGUGUCUUGGGCCGUGUCUCGGUUUGUCCAGAUUCAACGCUUAUACGAAUUUCCUACCUCCAACAAGAACGACGCUCUCAUUCAGUGAAUAUCCCGUCAGAGGCCGUGAUUCUCAACUUAUAAAUAGGGGGCCACUGUUCUUCCAUCGUCGAAGUGAGGCUUCUAAGAUUUUGGGAAGCUGGAAAGCUCAAACGCGGUGGGGGAGUUGAUAGGCUGGAUAUACUUCUCCUUGAUGCCAAGGUUUUGCGAUCUUUGACGAUUUCAGUUUCAGUACAUCCUCCUUUCCUUUAAGUCCGUGCAUCUGCAGCUAUAUAUAGGCUAAAUUUCAGAAACAUGGGGCAGAGCAGAGGGAAGAGCAACUGGAAAGUCUCAAUCAUCAUAGGUUUGAAUUUGAAAGGUUCAGCCUUAUGUAAGAGCGGAUAGUCAAUAGGGAGAAGUUAGAACGAGAGUUGGCUAUUUCCUCUCAUGAGAUACUUGCUGCCGGAAGGGUUCACGGUGCACGUUUAUAACUGGUCAGUGAUCCAUUUCUCCUCUCCGAGUUUUGUCGGACCCAGCGACAACGUCAAUAAAAGGUUAUCGAGAUGGUAAUAUAUCCGGCAGUGAAGCAAUUCAGAGAUCAGAUGAUAUCACCAUCAAGUUGAUGGCAUCAACAGCACAUCCUCUGUUAAGCGUCAGCCAAAGGUCCCAUUGUUGUGAGGAAAGCUUAGUUGUUCUCUUCUCGAAUCAUCUCUUGAAGAACACACAACUUCCUCUGUGUGUUUUCCUCUUCCAAAGGUUUUAUUAGUCAUAAAAAGGAGGGCAACGAUAGAAAGCGGAUGUGGAAAAAUAAAAGAAAGGUCUUUUUAUACCAAGGUGAAAUCAAUUCCCUUAAUUCACAACCUCAAGGAUCAGAGAUUCAGACAGUUGCAGUGUAAAAACGCCUUCAUACCGUAAAACAUUGCAGUAUCACAUUCACUGUUUAUCAUUUUUUUAUUGUUCCUCUUUAAGUGUUUUUCUAGACGGAAGAUAUCAACACUGAAGUGCUAUAAAAUUAUAGUAAACUUUAAGGAUGCUUCUAAAUUUUCAUGUUAUUUACUUUUUAUUCUCGAGA